GACUUAAAUUCAGUUGUAUAAGAAACUAGUAGAAGUGGUUUAUAUGUGGUACUGGGAAUUCACACUCCACUGAUGCUGGAUUCAUAUGCACCUUUAAAAAUGGCUUCCUGUGAGAAUCUGCAUGAUCUGAUUAAUUUAAAAUAUAUUAUUUAACUGUCUUGUUUAUGUAGAAUCAUAAAAAAAUAUGAAUUUGUCAGCAUUUAAAAGUUUCAUUUCAUUGCAGAUUUUGAAAUACAGUUCGACAGCCAGAACAGACCAAUCCCAGUGGAGGAAUUUAACUCAAGCCAUACACACAGAAAGAUUGCUAUCAGUAUGCCAGUAAAGGUCUAUUAUGAGAGGUAUGUCUCACAUUCCAGAGACAGUCAAAAAAUGAGGCAACUGGAGAUAUUGGGGUACAAAGUAGUAAUGUUGUACCCUAGAAUUUGGGAGACUUAUAACCUAUGUCAGCAAAAAAAGUUUCUACACCAAGCAAUUUCGGACAUGGGCCACAGCAGUGAAGGUGAAGGUCAUUGAAAAGACUUGAAUGAGGGGAAUUAUCUUCAGAAAUAAGUGUACUCGGGUACCAUUAUGGAAUUGUUCUCAAAACUGGAGCACUGAACUUCAGGGCUAAUUUCAGUCAUCACACAGAGAAGGUUGAAGCACAGAAAAAGCUCUCUCUAAGAUAAAAGAACUCAUUGGCAUCCUGCUUUCUUUAGAGCGCAUUCUC